rnacentral:lncRNA from 1 species
AUUUACUAGGAAGGUGGGACGUUGGAGGGGUGGCCGCAUGGAGUGAGUACUGUCUCUGGCCACCGAGCAGAGCCAGUGACAGCAGCGUCCUGGUAGGCAGGCAGGCGUAUCAGGUUUCAGAGGAUGCGGCUGGGAACGGGAGUAGAGGUAUAUGAGCUCCCUGAAAGCACAAAGCAGUUAUUUCCAUCUUCAGAUCAUUCAGAGAUUAUGAAGGCACAAACCCUGCCUUCAAUUUGCUUAUAGUCAAGUGGAGCAGACACAAGUCAAUGAUUGCAGUAUAGCCACUGAAGUAAUCUAAAAGAGACUUAUCAGCAGGUUGCAGGUGAACAUGGCCUUGAGGUAAAUCUGUCCCUUGCUGAAUACAGUUUCAGUAGAUUGUUUAUAGUAGUUUCAGGAAUUGAGAUUUUUUACAAAAAUACAAAAGUUUUGCUUGGUUCUGUUCUAGAUGUUUUCUUCUAAAUAAAUGAGAAAGAUGUUUCAACAAAGGCUCUUUAUGCUGAAUAAUUGUGAUGCUUGAAGUUGCUAAUCUGCUUUAAGUGGAUUUUAAAUGUCAGGCAAUUCUAGACAGUUUUUUCUUGGUCAAAUAAAAAUUUAAUUAAAACUUUA